UGGGUCGCAAGCCACUUUGGUUUAAGAAAGUCAUUGAAUAAAGCUUCGUUUCUGAAUAUGUAUUUUUAUUAUUUGCUAAAUAAUGUACUGUGUGCUCCUGUUACAUUUGCUCAUUGGGGAUACAAUAUUAUCCUAUCUUAAAUCAUGUUUAAUGGUGGUUCUUAUUCUGCUGUUGAGGAAUUUUCGUUACUUGUUACAACUGAGUCGUAAUAAAAAGUACGUUAUUUUUUUUUUGCAGGUCAGCGGUGCACCGUCGGUGGUGAGCAUCAGCCUCCUACCUGUUGGACUGAUAUUAAGACAGAACUUUUCCGAGCUGGUGCCGGGCCCAGUUCGCCAUCCUCCGCGACCUUCGCCAGCGAAUUCAAACACAAAGAGGAGGAAACGCGGGAACAUGUCCACCGCCGCGCCUUACGUCAAAAAACCCCCGAACGCA